rnacentral:rRNA from 1 species
GACGAACGCUGGCGGCGUGCCUAAUACAUGCAAGUCGAGCGAACGGAGGAGAGCUUGCUCUCCGAAGUUAGCGGCGGACGGGUGAGUAACACGUGGGCAACCUGCCUAUAAGACUGGGAUAACUUCGGGAAACCGGAGCUAAUACCGGAUAGUUUCUUCCCUCUCAUGAGGAAGGAAGGAAAGAUGGUUUCGGCUAUCACUUAUAGAUGGGCCCGCGGCGCAUUAGCUAGUUGGUAAGGUAACGGCUUACCAAGGCGACGAUGCGUAGCCGACCUGAGAGGGUGGUCGGCCACACUGGGACUGAGACACGGCCCAGACUCCUACGGGAGGCAGCAGUAGGGAAUCUUCCGCAAUGGACGAAAGUCUGACGGAGCAACGCCGCGUGAACGAUGAAGGCCUUCGGGUCGUAAAGUUCUGUUGUUAGGGAAGAACAAGUAUGAGAGUAACUGCUCGUACCUUGACGGUACCUAACCAGAAAGCCACGGCUAACUACGUGCCAGCCGCCGCGGUAAUAC